UUGACUAUCACUCUCGUUGGGCAACAAUGCGGUUAGCUGGCGUACAGGAGGUAGUUGGUAGCUAGCUACUUUCGACUGGCGUGUCCGCGUUUCACGAGUAAGUGAUCAACUGACGGGGGCUGUGGCUCGCUGUUUCCAAAUGUAUUUCAAUUCCUUCAGUUUCUUGCGCUUGCUUGAGCCCAUUCUGCGUGACGAAUCGCCAUACCGUCGGCCAGUCAGCCGAUCACCUUCGAGCACGGAGCUACGUCAGCCUUUAAAGUCCGGCGGAAUUUCGUUGGGCAGCCAAGUGCAAUUAGCUUUGUCAAAGUACAGAACGCUGAGAGUUAAAAGUAACCCACUGAUGGCAUUAAUCAAUUUACGAACACGCAAUCCCAGCGACAGCUGUUGAUACGCACAGCGCGCUUCACAUGUGGACAGACACUCCAUUAUCAACUAUUUACAUGCAUUUAAUUUGAAUGUCAAAUUCAGAUUUAUGGCCUAGCCUAUGAGAGUUACAAUAAAUGAGAGUCGUUUGCAUAUGAA